CCUACGGGUGGCAGCAGUGGGGAAUAUUGCACAAUGGGGGAAACCCUGAUGCAGCGACGCCGCGUGAGUGAAGAAGUAUCUCGGUACGUAAAGCUCUAUCAGCAGGGAAGAAAAUGACGGUACCUGACUAAGAAGCCCCGGCUAACUACGUGCCAGCAGCCGCGGCAAUACGGAGGGUGCAAGCGUUAUCCGGAUUUACUGGGUGUAAAGGGAGCGUAGACGGCAGCGUAAGUCUGGAGUGAAAUCCCAUGGCUUAACCAUGGAACUGCUUUGGAAACUGUACAGCUAGAGUGCAGGAGAGGUAAGCGGAAUUCGUAGUGUAGCGGUGAAAUGCGUAGAUAUUAGGAGGAACACCAGUGGCGAAGGCGGCUUACUGGACUGUAACUGACGUUGAGGCUCGAAAGCGUGGGGAGCAAACAGGAUUAGAUACCCUUGUAGUC
rnacentral:rRNA from 1 species